AGGCCCAGCUCGUAGGGGGCAAAGGGUGAAGGAAUUCAGAUUCACUCUCAUCUUCAUUUUCACUUCAUCAUAAACAUUUAUCUCUCCCUCUCCUAGCUACCUUGCAGGAAAUCGCUCUAUCAUGUCGGAGGCGGCAGAGCAACCCAACUCAGCCAACAACCACCAUUAAUGGAACCUUCUCGCCCUCCUCUUUCAAUUUCUUACAUCCAUUUCUUCUAAAAAUCACUAAACCAUCAAAAUCGAACCACAAACCCUAAGUCUUAAAAUUGAAAUUAAACGAUCUAUGAUUGAAGGUUGGAGAGUCAUAACCGAAUUAGGCAAUUAGGGACUGAUAUUCAUUUGGUAGGAUGGGACUUGGCUUGAUAUGGCAUAAAGGAGACUUAUCAUCAAGGAUAUGAAGAAGUUUUGGAUAUCUUGAAGGCAUAAAUGGAUGAUCAAUGAGGAUGAAGCCCAAAGUAGGCUAAGGUUAGUUUGACUUUGGUCAACUGUUUAACCAAAAGUCAACUUUAGGUCAAAUAUGUGAUUUCUUGUAUAAUGUUUGAAAAUUUGGGAUUUUUGCAAUGUAUUUAAUCUUGAAAUGAGAUUCUUUGAACCUUGAAUUGCCACUUGUAACUUGAUUCUCAAAAAUAAGUUAUUCCCUCCAAAUUAAAAUA